rnacentral:rRNA from 1 species
UACGUAGGGUGCAAGCGUUAAUCGGAAUUACUGGGCGUAAAGCGUGCGCAGGCGGUUAUGCAAGACAGAUGUGAAAUCCCCGGGCUCAACCUGGGAACUGCAUUUGUGACUGUAGAGCUGGAGUACGGUAGAGGGGGAUGGAAUUCCGCGUGUAGCAGUGAAAUGCGUAGAUAUGCGGAGGAACACCGAUGGCGAAGGCAAUCCCCUGGACCUGUACUGACGCUCAUGCACGAAAGCGUGGGGAGCAAACAGG